rnacentral:rRNA from 1 species
UACAGAGGUCCCAAGCGUUGCUCGGAAUCACUGGGCGUAAAGGGUGCGUAGGCGGGUCUUUAAGUCAGGGGUGAAAUCCUGGAGCUCAACUCCAGAACUGCCUUUGAUACUGAAGAUCUUGAGUUCGGGAGAGGUGAGUGGAACUGCGAGUGUAGAGGUGAAAUUCGUAGAUAUUCGCAAGAACACCAGUGGCGAAGGCGGCUCACUGGCCCGAUACUGACGCUGAGGCACGAAAGCGUGGGGAGCAAACAGG